rnacentral:rRNA from 1 species
UAGUCCACGCCGUAAACGAUGGAUACUAGUUGUCGGAUCUCCGGAUUCGGCGGCCAAGCGAAAGUGAUAAGUAUCCCACCUGGGGAGUACGUUCGCAAGAAUGAAACUCAAAGGAAUUGACGGGGGCCCGCACAAGCGGUGGAGCAUGUGGUUUAAUUCGAUGAUACGCGAGGAACCUUACCAGGGCUUAAAUGCAUUAUGACAGGGGUAGAGAUACCCUUUUCUUCGGACAUUUUGCAAGGUGCUGCAUGGUUGUCGUCAGCUCGUGCCGUGAGGUGUCAGGUUAAGUCCUAUAACGAGCGCAACCCUUGCCGUCAGUUGCCAGCAAGUAAUGUUGGGGACUCUGACGGGACUGCCGGUGCAAACCGAGAGGAAGGUGGGGAUGACGUCAAAUCAUCACGGCCCUUAUGUCCUGGGGCUACACACGUGCUACAAUGGGAUGGGUACAAAGAGCAGCCACUCAGCGAUGA